AAUAAACAAUGUAAAGCAAUGAGAAAGAUCAACCUGCUCAGGUACAGUCAUGUCUUUUGUAGACAACAAAAUCAAGAUAACUUUCUAGAUAAUAACUAUGUAUCACUAUCAUAUUCCUACAGACAUAUAUAGUAUAGUAUUUUCAUUCUCAAUACCUGAUAUUACUUAAGUACUAAUACAUGUAUUGCUUGUAUAUCCUGUCCAAUUAUAUUUCCAUGAAUCAUAUGGUUUCUAGCAACCUUAAAAUCUUUGUCAUUUGUAAUCAUGAAUUACAUUCCUAUACCAUUAAUUCCACCUAGUGAUUGUAUCAGUACUUUACAAUCAUAGUAUUUAAUUUGUAUAUUCAGUAGGCUCUAACUACCUGAAAUAUAUCAACACUACUUAUAAGACUCAUUCAAAGGAUGUGUUAUCAACCAUGAAGUUCUAUAAUAAUUCUUCAAAUAAUGUUCAUGGUGUUGACAAUACUUAUUGUUCUAGAAAUUCUCCACCCAGAAAUCUAUCAUAGAUU